rnacentral:rRNA from 1 species
CUACGUGCCAGCAGCCGCGGUAAUACGGAAGGUCCGGGCGUUAUCCGGAUUUAUUGGGUUUAAAGGGAGCGUAGGCCGGAGAUUAAGUGUGUUGUGAAAUGUAGACGCUCAACGUCUGACUUGCAGCGCAUACUGGUUUCCUUGAGUACGCACAACGUUGGCGGAAUUCGUCGUGUAGCGGUGAAAUGCUUAGAUAUGACGAAGAACUCCGAUUGCGAAGGCAGCUGACGGGAGCGCAACUGACGCUUAAGCUCGAAGGUGCGGGUAUCGAACAGGAUUAGAUACCCUGGUAGUCCGCACAGUAAACGAUGGAUGCCCGCUGUUGGUACCUGGUAUCAGCGGCUAAGCGAAAGCAUUAAGCAUCCCACCUGGGGAGUACGCCGGCAACGGUGAAACUCAAAGGAAUUGACGGGGGCCCGCACAAGCGGAGGAACAUGUGGUUUAAUUCGAUGAUACGCGAGGAACCUUACCCGGGCUUGAAUUGCAGAGGAAGGAUUUAGAGAUA